CGAACGCUGGCGGCAGGCCUAAUACAUGCAAGUCGAACGGCUCUUCGGAGCAGUGGCGGACGGGUGAGUAACGCGUGGGAAUGUGCCCUUAGGUACGGAACAACACAGGGAAACUUGUGCUAAUACCGUAUGUGCCCUUCGGGGGAAAGAUUUAUCGCCUUUGGAGCAGCCCGCGUUGGAUUAGGUAGUUGGUGAGGUAAAGGCUCACCAAGCCGACGAUCCAUAGCUGGUCUGAGAGGAUGACCAGCCACACUGGGACUGAGACACGGCCCAGACUCCUACGGGAGGCAGCAGUAGGGAAUCUUGCGCAAUGGGCGAAAGCCUGACGCAGCCAUGCCGCGUGUAUGAUGAAGGUCUUAGGAUUGUAAAAUACUUUCACCGGGGAAGAUAAUGACGGUACCCGGAGAAGAAGCCCCGGCUAACUUCGUGCCAGCCGCCGCGGUAAAAC
rnacentral:rRNA from 1 species